GUGGGGAAUAUUGGACAAUGGGCGAAAGCCUGAUCCAGCAAUGCCGCGUGAGUGAUGAAGGCCCUAGGGUUGUAAAGCUCUUUUACCCGGGAUGAUAAUGACAGUACCGGGAGAAUAAGCUCCGGCUAACUUCGUGCCAGCAGCCGCGGUAAUACGAGGGGAGCUAGCGAUGUUCGGAAUUACUGGGCGUAAAGCGCGCGUAGGCGGUUUUUUCAGUCAGAGGUGAAAGCCCGGGGCUCAACCCCGGAAUAGCCUUUGAAACUGGAAAACUAGAAUCUUGGAGAGGUCAGUGGAAUUCCGAGUGUAGAGGUGAAAUUCGUAGAUAUUCGGAAGAACACCAGUGGCGAAGGCGACUGACUGGACAAGUAUUGACGCUGAGGUGCGAAAGCGUGGGGAGCAAACAGGAUUAGAUACCCGGGUAGUCC
rnacentral:rRNA from 1 species